GUGGGGAAUUUUGCGCAAUGGGGGAAACCCUGACGCAGCAACGCCGCGUGGAGGAUGAAGUCCCUUGGGACGUAAACUCCUUUCGACCGGGACGAUUAUGACGGUACCGGUGGAAGAAGCCCCGGCUAACUUCGUGCCAGCAGCCGCGGUAAGACGUAGGGGACGAGCGUUGUCCGGAUUCAUUGGGCGUAAAGCGCGCGUAGGCGGUCGUGCAAGUCGGUUGUGAAAUCCCGGGGCUCAACCCCGGGACUGCGUCCGAUACUGCUCGACUCGAGGCAGGUAGGGGAGAUCGGAAUUCCUGGUGUAGCGGUGAAAUGCGCAGAUAUCAGGAGGAACACCGGUGGCGAAGGCGGAUCUCUGGGCCUGUCCUGACGCUCAGGCGCGAAAGCUAGGGGAGCGAACAGGAUUAGAUACCCUUGUAGUCC
rnacentral:rRNA from 1 species